rnacentral:rRNA from 1 species
UGGGGAAUUUUGGACAAUGGGGAAACCCCGAUCCAGCCCAUCCGCGUGUGCGAUGAAGGCCCUCGGGUUGUUAAGCCCCUUUGGCAGGAAAGAAAAGUCAUGGGUUAAUACCCCGGGAAACUGACGGUACCUGCAGAAUAAGCACCGGCUAACUACGUGCCAGCAGCCGCGGUAAUACGUAGGGUGCAAGCGUUAAUCGGAAUUACUGGGCGUAAAGCGUGCGCAGGCGGUUCGGAAAGAAAGAUGUGAAAUCCCAGAGCUCAACUUUGGAACUGCAUUUUUAACUACCGGGCUAGAGUGUGUCAGAGGGAGGUGGAAUUCCGCGUGUAGCAGUGAAAUGCGUAGAUAUGCGGAGGAACACCGAUGGCGAAGGCAGCCUCCUGGGAUAACACUGACGCUCAUGCACGAAAGCGUGGGGAGCAAACAGG